UGAAAUUUGGUCAGAAUGAUUACCUUGAUGAAAUCUAGGUCGAGUUCGAAUAUGGGUCAUCUUGGGUUAAAAAGUAGGUCACUAGGUCAAAUCAAGGAAAAACUUUGUGUAUGCCAUAGAGGCUGUAUUUUUCAAUUGAUCUUCAUGAAAUUUGGUCAGAAUGAUUGUCUUGAUAAAAUCUAGUCAGGGUUGAAUAUGAAUUAUCUAGGGUCAAAAACUAGGUCAUUAGGUCAUAU